rnacentral:misc_RNA from 1 species
GUAGGUAUGUAAAACAAAACCCCUCCCAUUCUACACAAAAGCAAAAAGCUAACAAUUUCUAGGUGAACCUGCGGAAGGAUCAUUACCGAGUUCUCCUGUUCUGCAGGAACUCCCCACCCUUGAAGACCGAAGCGUUGCUUUGGCAAGACGUCUUUGGACCAUCGGGUUUACUCGAUGAGCGCUUGCCGAAGUUCUAAACUCUUAAUUAUGUAUCGUCAGAUAAAACAAGCAAUAAAUGAAAAACUUUCAACAACGGAUCUCUUGGUUUUG